rnacentral:piRNA from 1 species
UAUUAUAAUAUUUAUAAUAAUGGCAUUGUU